GAUGAAGAACGUAGCGAAAUGCGAUAAGUAGUGUGAAUUGCAGAAUUCAGUGAAUCAUCGAAUCUUUGAACGCACAUUGCGCCCCUUGGUAUUCCAUGGGGCAUGCCUGUUCGAGCGUCAUUUACCCCCUCAAGCUCCGCUUGGUGUUGGGCGUCUGUCCCGCUUCGCGCGCGGACUCGCCCCAAAGGUAUUGGCAGCGGUCGUGCCAGCUUCUCGCGCAGCACAUUGCGCUUCUCGAGGCACCGGUGGGCCCGCGUCCAUCAAGCUCACCCCCCCAGUUUGACCUCGGAUCAGGUAGGGAUACCCGCUGAACUUAAGCAUAUCAAUAAGCGGAGGA
rnacentral:misc_RNA from 1 species